rnacentral:rRNA from 1 species
UACGAGGGGUGCAAGCGUUGCUCGGAAUUAUUGGGCGUAAAGGGUAGGUAGGUGGUCUCAUUUGUCUGAGGUGAAAGCCUUGAGCUUAACUCAAGAAGUGCCUCAGAAACGGUGAGACUAGAGUCCUGGAGAGGGUCGUGGAAUUCCCGGUGUAGCGGUGAAAUGCGUAGAGAUCGGGAGGAACACCGGUGGCGAAGGCGGGAUCCUGGGCCAGUACUGACGCUGAGGAGCGAAAGCGUGGGGAGCAAACAGG